rnacentral:rRNA from 1 species
UACGUAGGGUGCAAGCGUUGUCCGGAAUUAUUGGGCGUAAAGAGCUCGUAGGCGGUUUGUCGCGUCGGCCGUGAAAACCUGCAGCUUAACUGUGGGCGUGCGGUCGAUACGGGCAUCACUGGAGUUCGGCAGGGGAGACUGGAAUUCCUGGUGUAGCGGUGAAAUGCGCAGAUAUCAGGAGGAACACCGGUGGCGAAGGCGGGUCUCUGGGCCGAUACUGACGCUGAGGAGCGAAGGCGUGGGGAGCGAACAGG